rnacentral:rRNA from 1 species
UACGUAGGGUGCAAGCGUUAAUCGGAAUUACUGGGCGUAAAGCGUGCGCAGGCGGCUCUGCAAGUCAGAUGUGAAAUCCCCGAGCUCAACUUGGGAACUGCAUUUGAAACUACAGAGCUAGAAUAUGUCAGAGGGAGGUAGAAUUCCACGUGUAGCAGUGAAAUGCGUAGAGAUGUGGAGGAAUACCGGUGGCGAAGGCGGCCUCCUGGGAUAAUAUUGACGCUCAUGUACGAAAGCGUGGGGAGAAAACAGG